UACGGAGGGGGUUAGCGUUGUUCGGAAUUACUGGGCGUAAAGCGCACGUAGGCGGACUAUUAAGUCAGGGGUGAAAUCCCGGGGCUCAACCCCGGAACUGCCCUUGAUACUGGCAGUCUAGAGUUCGAGAGAGGCGAGCGGAAUUCCGAGUGUAGAGGUGAAAUUCGUAGAUAUUCGGAGGAACACCAGUGGCGAAGGCGGCUCACUGGCUCGAUACUGACGCUGAGGUGCGAAAGCGCGGGGAGCAAACACG
rnacentral:rRNA from 1 species